rnacentral:rRNA from 1 species
GCAGAAUUCAGUGAAUCAUCGAAUCUUUGAACGCACCUUGCGCUCCUUGGUAUUCCGAGGAGCAUGCCUGUUUGAGUGUCAUGUAA